GAUGAACGCUGGCGGCGUGCCUAAUACAUGCAAGUCGAGCGAACAGAUGAGGAGCUUGCUCCUCUGACGUUAGCGGCGGACGGGUGAGUAACACGUGGAUAACCUACCUAUAAGACUGGGAUAACUUCGGGAAACCGGAGCUAAUACCGGAUAAUCUAUUGAACCGCAUGGUUCAAUAGUGAAAGACGGUUUUGCUGUCACUUAUAGAUGGAUCCGCGCCGCAUUAGCUAGUUGGUAAGGUAACGGCUUACCAAGGCAACGAUGCGUAGCCGAGCUGAGAGGGGGAUCGGCCGCCCUGGAACUGAGACACGGUCCAGGCUCCUACGGGAGGCACCAGUAGGGAAUCUUCCGCAGAGGGCGAAAGCCUGACGGAGCAACGCCGCGUGAGUGAUGAAGGUCUUCGGAUCGUAAAACUCUGUUAUUAGGGAAGAACAAAUGUGUAAGUAACUAUGCACGUCUUGACGGUACCUAAUCAGAAAGCCCCGGCUAACUACGUG
rnacentral:rRNA from 1 species